rnacentral:rRNA from 1 species
CCACAUUGGGACUGAGACACGGCCCAGACUCCUACGGGAGGCAGCAGUGGGGAAUAUUGCACAAUGGGGGAAACCCUGAUGCAGCGACGCCGCGUGGAGGAAGAAGGUCUUCGGAUUGUAAACUCCUGUUGUUGAGGAAGAUAAUGACGGUACUCAACAAGGAAGUGACGGCUAACUACGUGCCAGCAGCCGCGGUAAAACGUAGGUCACAAGCGUUGUCCGGAAUUACUGGGUGUAAAGGGAGCGCAGGCGGGAAGACAAGUUGGAAGUGAAAUCUAUGGGCUCAACCCAUAAACUGCUUUCAAAACUGUUUUUCUUGAGUAGUGCAGAGGUAGGCGGAAUUCCCGGUGUAGCGGUGGAAUGCGUAGAUAUCGGGAGGAACACCAGUGGCGAAGGCGGCCUACUGGGCACCAACUGACGCUGAGGCUCGAAAGUGUGGGUAGCAAACAGGAUUAGAUACCCUGGUAGUCCACACCGUAAACGAUGAUUACUAGGUGUUGGAGGAUUGACCCCUUCAGUGCCGCAGUUAACACAAUAAGUAAUCCACCUGGGGAGUACGACCGCAAGGUUGAAACUCAAAGGAAUUGACGGGGGCCCGCACAAGCAGUGGAGUAUGUGGUUUAAUUCGACGCAACGCGAAGAACCUUACCAAGUCUUGACAUCCCUUGACGAACAUAGAAAUAUGUUUUCUCUUCGGAGCAAGGAGACAGGUGGUGCAUGGUUGUCGUCAGCUCGUGUCGUGAGAUGUUGGGUUAAGU